rnacentral:ncRNA from 3 species
GCCUAGGAUCCACUGUGCG